UACGUAGGGUGCAAGCGUUGUCCGGAAUUAUUGGGCGUAAAGAGCUCGUAGGCGGUUUGUCGCGUCUGCUGUGAAAACCCGAGGCUCAACCUCGGGCCUGCAGUGGGUACGGGCAGACUAGAGUGCGGUAGGGGAGAUUGGAAUUGUCCUGGUGUAGCGGUGGAAUGCGCAGAUAUCAGGAGGAACACCAAUGGCGAAGGCAGAUCUCUGGGCCGUAACUGACGCUGAGGAGCGAAAGCAUGGGGAGCGAACAGG
rnacentral:rRNA from 1 species